GGUAGGACAACCUGGGAGUGGAGAUGUUGGAGUUACAGCGAUGACCAUUAAAAAAACACUGAAAAGUAAAGCCAGUGUUGGACACAUUGUGUUGAUCAGGGACAAAGCAGCUGAAGCAGUUAAGUAAGGAAUGACACACUUUAAGGCAACUAUAAAUGCAUUGGUCAACAAAAAAGCGCUGACCAGAGCAGAGGCUGUGGACCUAACUGAGCAUGGCCAGAUGGAGGAGAGUGAGAGAGAAGAUCUGGUUAUGCAAGUGACAAGAGAACUACAGAAACGUUCAAAUGUUUAAAGUAAAACAAGAGUUUUGAAACCAAAUUGUGAAAUGUUUGAAGUUUUGCAUUUUUCCAUUUUCUUAAAUAAUACUUGUUUAACAGUGGAGACAAAAACACACAACAAACUUUCUUAUUUAUGCUUUUCUUUUAAUUUUUCUUAAGAAAAACAUUAUUACUGUAGAAUAAAUAUUAUAUAAUCAAAAGAGGUGACAUGCCAGUUUGUGAAGAUAGUCUAUUGUGGUUUGAGAACUAUGCAAGCUUGUGAGGGGAAGGUUGUCAAUGUAAACAAUUUGCAACGGCUAGUUGUCCAAC